ACUGGACGAAAUGGUUGUGGAACUGUGAACUGUGCUGUUCAGUUUUUUUGUUGAGAUGGAGAAGGUGAAUCAUUGUCAGUCUGCUUGCAGAAGGAGAAUAUUCUUUUGGCAACUUUGCCUGCAACGUGCGAUGGCUGGAAGCAACACCAUCAUCGGCAGCUGAGUCUGAUCGCCCUUCAUGUUGAAUAUACUUGUGUACAGUAUAGUAAUGUUUGAAUAAAUGUUAUAAUGAAGAU